GACAUGAUAUGUAUCCGACAUCGGAACACACCUAACAUGAGGGGUAUAUGUGCUUCAUAGGAUUAGACGAAACAUCAGCCGUAACUUUCAUAUGUGAAGUGAAUUGAAAAUUCAGUAAGCCAACAGAAACAACAAAUGACAUUUUCAGAAUAUCUAACUUCAAUUGUGAGGAAAAUCAUGAUUUCUCUACAUUUUCAAUUUUUCAAGCACUAAGUUCCAUCAGUAAAUCUCACAAGGAUAGAAACAAAGCAGAGCUAGUAUUUGGAGGAAGUGAUGAGAAAUCAUACCAAUGAUGAGCACCAUGGAUUUGAUAAAGGCCAAUCUAUCUAAGCUGGAAGGAUAAUUACAGAUGCAGUUUCCACUUUCCAGUUAGCACCUGAUCUUGAACCUGAGCAUACUGUUUCGUUUUUCCAGAAUUUUAUUACGUGAAAGGUUUGGGAACCAAUAUCGAUCUUGGGCAUUGGAAUGCUAGUCAAAGGAAGCUUAUUAGAAUGUGCAAGUGGUCUUCACCCUCGUUGAACAUUUGUUUCCGGUGGCAUGCCUUCAGCUUACAAGAUUCACCUUUACAAUCCCAGUUGCAAAGCAUUCAGAAGCACCCUGUAAUGACUCAGAGACAGGUUGAAAUGGAUCCCUGUGUUCUUCAACUACUGAUAGCAAAUAACCCAUUCCUACUGUCCUGGUGUAUGAACUAAGGAGGAUUAGUGAUCACUGUGUUAUCGUGGCAAUGGAGUUUACAAAGAUUGAAGAUUCCCUCGUGCCUUUUCUAUGAGUGGAGUUGGGAUCCUAGGGAUUGCCUCCUUAGAUAUUCUUUUUAUGCGUGUUUUUUGGUGGUUUUCGGAUGUUUGGUGCUGGUCUCUGUCGCGGCUCUGUUCCUGCAUACUGUGUUCAAUAGCGACAGUUUCUUCUGCACAGCUUUUUGUAUUUUUCUGUUGAGGGUUUCCGCUAUUUCGGGCCUGUUGUAGUGCCGUCUUUUUAGCGCCCUUAUCGUACACCUUGUAUGAUAUAAGGAAGUAUGAAUAUAUAAGCUGUUUCAAACCAAAAAAAAACUGCAACCAACAUAGAGAAAAAGAACUUCUCACACAGGAUAAGGUACAAACGGAAAAUAGAACCUAAGUGGGAAAAAGUACAUCACACUAUAACCCUUAAGCGUUGAGUUAGUUAUUUUGAUCCUUUGGCUCUUUCAUGUUUCGAUGGAUUCCCUGAACCUUCCUAUCUGAAAUGAUUCCUUCAUCAUUGAUUGUACCCUCUUAUGGGGUCCUAUCAAUCACUGGGGUCCUUUACAUCCUUCAUUUGGCCCAAGACAAACCUCUCGCUGUGGUACUUGGAUCCCAAAAACUACCGCAACUGCCAGUUAACCGAUAAAAGUGAUGUUUAUAGCUAUGGAGUUGUGCUGCUAGAGUUUUUGACUUGACAGAAAGCAGUAGAUUCUUCUCAUGAUCAUGAUGAUGUCACAAUGAUAACUACUUAAGGCAAAGAUAACUAGUUUUAAAAGAGCGGGAUAACUACUUAAGGCAAACAUAACUGCUAGAGUUGUGCUGCUAUAAUCUUUUAUUACUGGUGGAAAACAUUUUAAGGGAAAGAUAACUACUCUUAGAAGAGCGGGAUAAGUCAAAAGCCAUGUCAUUAGCUCCUAUAAUGUGUUUCAUAAUUGUCUGAAACUUAUUUUCAA